UGUUGUAGUAGUUUAGCCCUGCG
rnacentral:misc_RNA from 1 species